rnacentral:misc_RNA from 1 species
GAUGAAGAACGUAGCGAAAUGCGAUACUUGGUGUGAAUUGCAGAAUCCCGUGAACCAUCGAGUCUUUGAACGCAAGUUGCGCCCGAAGCCAUUAGGCCGAGGGCACGCCUGCCUGGGCGUCACACGUCGUUGCCCCCCCAUCUACUCCUUCGGGAUUGCGGGGGGCGGAUGAUGGCCUCCCGUGCGCCUCGCCGCGCGGUUGGCAUAAAUGCCAAGUCCUCGGCGACGCACGCCACGACAAUCGGUGGUUGCGAAACCUCGGUUGCCCGUCGUGUGCGGUCGUCGCGCAUCGAGGGCUCGAAAAAAUUGCCGGGCUUCGGCUCGACUUUCAACGCGACCCCAGGUCAGGCGGGGUUACCCGCUGAAUUUAAGCAUAUCAAUAAGCGGAGGA